CAACUUUUAACAACGGAUCUCUUGGCUCUCGCAUCGAUGAAGAACGCAGCGAAAUGCGAUAAGUAAUGUGAAUUGCAGAAUUCAGUGAAUCAUCGAAUCUUUGAACGCACCUUGCGCCCUUUGGUAUUCCGAAGGGCAUGCCUGUUUGAGUGUCAUUA
rnacentral:rRNA from 2 species